UGCCGGCAGGGCCGCUCCGGCCUCUGAAACGCCCACCUGGCGGCUCCGCCUAGGGAAUCGGCGGCGUCGAAGACCCCCCAUCCCAACCCGCGCGCCGAAACCCGAGGCUUCCCCGCGCUCAGCGUCCGCUCCACUGCCGCAGCUCCUCCCCGGGUCUCAGAUCUGUUCCGUGUGUCAACCACUGAAGACAAACGGACAGAUGCCAAGAGCGAGAUACCCUUCUGCAGCAUUUCACAAGAAAGUGAGGGACUCAGCACGGUCUUUGCCAAACAACUUCUGAGGAGAUUGGUCGGCAUUUGAAGACAAGAGGAGUCAACGUUUUGUCCGAAGAACCAAUGGAAAUACGACAUUAAAGAUCAGGGCAAGGGCCCCAAAGUUUGUUCAAGAGGAUCCUACCAGUGAUUUAUUUUGGCAGAAGACAAUGAAGUGUUCCUCUCCACUUAGUUUCUCUGAGAAACAUUCCACCUAGGCAAGAUGGGAAAGCCUGGCUAGAGAGUUACGAGUAAAUGGGUAUGUUCUGUGUGAAGAUUUGGAAUCCUCUGCACCAUCUACACCCUCAGUAGCAAUUCUGAGGAGAAUCAAGCUACAAGUGCUCGCGGCUAUGGCAGGAGGAAGGGCAGCGUCUGUUCCUUCCACACCAAGCUGUGUGCUUCCAAUUUUGGCAGUAAAACCUAGCAACAGGGGGAAAGAUAAAAGAAGCCCCAAGGCUCUGUGAAGGACUUGGUGGAGUGCUUGUACUUAAAUUAGCUUAUUUCAGCCUUAUGACCUCCCCGAGGAGGAAGAGGUAUCAGCAUGGCCUCUGUACAGACCCGCAAACAAUGGCUCCGGGUUCCCUGAGGUUUCAUCGCUGGUAGGUUAGAGGAUGAGCAUUAGAUCCAGGGCUGUCUGAAUCCAAAUUUAAGCUCCAUAUUCACCCUGUGCUUCCAGCUUUGGGCCUUACCCUGGCAUGCCCAAGUCACACUCUGAGUUAGGAAAGCAGAGAAAGGUUUUCUUUUCCCUCUCAAAUUAGUCUAGAGUCUGAAUCAGUUUUCCCUACGUAAGUCAGAGGCAGCCACUGGCAAGACAGUAUUGAAAUAUUUUUUGCAGGCUUUUCUCUCAGCAUUCUCUCUUUUAGGCAAAUUGGUGCUAAUUCAGGGGCAGGCAGGAGCAAGAAACCAUCACUGCCUUCCAGAGACAUUCUUGACCCAGCCAGCCAGGGCAUACUUGGCUGUGUCUACAGAAUGCCUCCCCUCCACCCACCUGACUCCCCUGAAUUAACUCCAUCUAGUUGUAAGUAGCAAGCGGUGACUCUUCCAGAAAAAUCCUUGGUGGUAUACCUCUCUGUCCCCCAGAAAACUUGCUGGAGGACUCAGAAUGUGCUGAAGCCUCACUGAGGAUGAGGCUGGGGUCCCUGCAUUACUAAGUGUCUCUCUGUCAGCAGUGAGGUGCUGUUCCUAGCACAGUUGGUCAGAGACUUGAUGCUGGAGGGCUUGGAGGACAGUGGCCAGCCUCCCCCAGUGCUGGAUGCUCAGAAGAACAGGACAAGUUGUGCUGACCUUCACACUCUGACUUAGCCACCAGUAGGUGGGCAGCCUAGGACAGUGUCUCACCUGUCAAAGUUUUGAACAGCUUGUGGUCUGGAGCCUGGGCAGAGCGUACCACUCUCCAGAGAGCUCCCUGAGCUGAACACACUCUCCCUGCCAUUUCCUAAGGUUUCACAGCAGUUGAUUUCCCAUGGAAACAAGCAGAAAUCUGCUUCAAUCAUCUGGCAUUUUUAGUUUCCUAAUUUGUAUGGGAACCUGGAGGUACAGACAUAUGGUACAUUCAUUAUCCCAGAAAGCUACAGCUGAAAGAAAAAUAGUUACAGCCAGUCUUAAAACUGGAAAGCUUCAGCAUAUGCCUUCAAAUUAUUUUUCUUAAUCUCAGACUGUCAACAAUGCUGCCAAAAGAGUUGUUUGUGUUUCAGCUCAGUACUUGUAGCAGGAUUUAUAUUUGAACCUUGAUGUGUGCUUCUCCCAUGGCCCAGCCCUGCCAGCCAGCUCUCCUGGUGGAAUGGCGGCCCUCUUGUCUCCUAAACCAGACUGAGAGAGUGAAAUGAGCGCUGGCUGAGUUCUGAUCCUGCCCCCGGCAUUUACUAGUCCUGUGGGCGAAAACUGAACUUCUCUGGGCCUCAGUGUCCCCAUUUGAAAAUUUCUUUCAAUCAUUUAACAAAUAUUUAUUGAACAUCUAUUUUGUGGCAAGCACUGUUCAAAGAACUGGGAAGAUAGCAGAGAACAAAAUAGGAUCCCCACCUUGAGGAGUUUAGAUUCUACAUGGGGGGAUAAAAAAUAAAUGAGUCGAAGGCAUCAUGUUAGCUGACGAUUAGGGUUUUGGAGAAAAGGAAAGCAGGGAAGGGAGUACUUGGGUAGGACAAUUACCUACCCAAGUACUUAGGUAAUUUAAAACACAGUGGCCAAGGAAGUCCUCACCGGAGAGGAGGUGGUGGAGGAAAGGCCUGGAAGAGGUGAGAGCACCAUGUAGGGGGAGGAAGACAUUUUGGGGAGAAGCCCUGAAGUUGCAGGCUACCUGCUGCUUUUGAGGAAGAGCAGGAAGUCCAGGGUGGCCAGAGUCCAUGAGCGUGGGGCUUUGGAGCCGCCAAAGAGAAUUUGCCUGUGGUCGCUGUCAUAGUGGAGGGUUUUGAGCAGAGGCGAUAUGAGCUAGGCUGUGUGGGGGUUGUUCUGACUGCUGUGCUGAGUGGACUGAGGGGGACAAAGUGGGACAGACACAGUAAUCGAAGGGAGUCCUGAUAGUUUGGUCUGGGGACUGGCCUUGGGUGGUGAGGAGUGGUUGAGUUUUAGCUAAGAGCUAGCACAUUAUUUUGAGAGUUGAGCUGCCAGGCUGACAGAUUAGAUGUGGGGUAUAAAAGAAAGAGGGCAUUCCUCUAAGGCUGUUAGACUGGUUACCAGGAAGAAUGGGGUGUCUGUUUUCUGAGAUGGGGAAUGGAGGGUGGGGAAUGGAAGGCACAUCUGGAAUUCAGUUUUGAACAUGUAAAGUUUUUGAGAUACCAGUUAGAAAUAUGAAUGGAUAAAAUGAAAACAUGCUACUCAUCAAACAAGAUUUAUCAAAUGAAAUAAAUCUAAAAGAACUGCUUUUGUCUUCAAGAAAAAUAAGAGUAAUCUCUGCUAUGUGGUGAGAAGCCAAGAUUGAGAAGUCAAUUACUCAGUUUCCAUGCUUUCCUUGCAUGGACAGUAUUAUUACUAUUAUUAUUGUUUUCUCUUUGUAGUUAGUUAUCUAAUAGAAUGUCAAAGGUUUCUAAAUGUAAAGGUAAGCAAAGUUCUUGUGAUUGGACCAUACAGUGUAGGAAGCACUUAUCCAUCUGCCCAUUUACUGGGUCCUUCUGGGAAAGUUACACAGUGCCAUGGUCGGAAAGUUUGUGUCCCCAGAAAAUUCAUAUGUCAUGAAAUUCUAAUGCCAGUGUGAUGGUAUCAGGAAGUGGGGCCUUUGGGAGGUGAUUAGGUCAUGAGUGUGGUGCCCUCACAAAUGGGAUUAGUGCCCUUAUAAAAGAUACCUAAUCUCCCUGCCCCUUCCACCACAUGAGCAUACAGCAAGAAGUCAGCAGCCUGCAACCCAAAAGAGGGCCUUCACCAGAACCUAGCCAUACUGGUGCCACAAUCUAGCACUUCCCAGCCUCCAGAAUUGUAAGAAACUAAUAAGCCACCCAAGUCUAUGGUAUUCUGUAAUAGCAACCCAAAACGGACUAAGACACACACAGAGUCUAGAAUGGCAAAGAAGGUAUUUAUGAUGAAGAAUGUAGAGAAGACCCUGGGAAGAGAACACUCAUGCUCAUACCAGUUUGAAGAAUCUUUCUGAGCUCCAGAGAGUGGAGGCUGUGAAGCUGGAGUUAAGUUGUGUGGUGGAAAUUAUAGCUGGCUUGCAAGGCUGCCCAGGGCCUGGUGCACAGUAGGGUUCAGUGAAACUUAGUUCACUUUCUAUAUUAUUAAUCUUUGUACUCUUACUAGGUAUAUAAUAAGUGUACUUAUUUCUAAAUUUGAGUUUGGUCCCUUUAUAUAUAUUAAUGUUUCUAAGGUACUGGAGACUUAGAAGGGUCAGGUCAAGGUAAAGUUAAGCCUUUAAUCUAGAGCAGUGUUACCAAUAGAUAGUGCUGCCAGUACAUAGGCCUAAUGCAAGCCACAGAGGUAAUUUUCUUUCUAAAAUCCACAUUUAAAAAACUAAAACAAUAAAAUUAAUUUUAAUUUAAUUACUUAACUCAAUAUAGCCAAAGUGUUAUUCUUUCACCAUGUAAUUAACAUAAAAUUUCAAGCUCUUUCACUGUUUUUAGCUAAUUCUUUGAAAUCCAGCUUGUAUUUUACAUCUAUAGAACAUCUCAAUUCAAACUAUCCCAUUUCAAGAACUUAACAGAUGUAUGUGACUAGUGGCUAUCGUAUUGGACAGUAUAGCUCUGGUGGCAAUAAGGAGGUAUUUUCCUUUCUUCCUUUUAAUUUUUUGUGAGCCUGACAUUUGACUGUGGGACUGUGGUGUAUAAUCUGUCAGUCAGGCUCAGUUAUUACUUGUUCCUUUGCAAGCAGUUGGGUAGUUGCUCUUCCUGCAUGCGCUGGAAGCAGAGGAGCUCAAACUGUCUUUUCUGCACCAACCACUCAGAAUGGCAGAUUGCCCUGCAAGUCUCCUGCUUCACCUGUUCUCAUCUCCCACAGGUAGAAACAUAGCCCAAAAAAAACCAGGAAGGAAAGAGCCAAUAACAAAACUUCAGCUUGUGUGUGUUGGGGGGAUCAUCCUAAUAGCAACAUUUGAAAAUGUUACCUUUCUCUGAUUUUGUGUUAAAAAUCUCUGUGAUGAAAAAGCAUAAAAAUGAUGGAGAGGUGGGACACAAAUAACUUGGCAUUGGUGUUCUUAGGAAAUGACACAGGAAAUAAAAACAAAGGAAAACUGUUUUGAAAAAUGGAGAGCUCUUAGUCACAGAAUAAAUGGGACCUUAACUUACUUUUGUAAGUUUAUUCAAGUGACUUUACGUACUUUUGAUGAGUCAGUUAAUUUGCUUACUUACAAAUUCCUCCCUGAUUCCAGAAUGUUUAUGUUAGCUCUUAAUGGAUUACUACAAGUAAUACUGUUCUAAGAAGUUUAAAUAUGUUAAUUUAUUUAAUCCUUAUAACAGACCUAUGCCCCUUAUAAUAAACCUAUAACAGGUUUGAAUGAGCUCUGUCACUUGCUCCUGAGAACUCUCCUAGGCUCACUUUUCUGUAAAAUAGAAAUAAUAAUGAUUCACCUCAUAAGAUAGUUGUGAAAAUUAACUUAAGCUAUGUGUAAAAUGGACAUAGAACAGUGUUUGACACACAGUAAACUCUCAGUAAACAUUACUACUGUUAUCGAUGACAGAGUUACUUCACAAAUCUUGAGGAAAGAGGUUACAAAUAUUCCAUGGCAAGGAGGCCAUAGGAUUAGAAUCUCUUCUUCUGGUUAUUAGUACGCUAUUUAAUAGACAGUGGUUUUCAGUUGAAGAGCCACAGUUUCUCUUAUUCAUAUAUUAGAAAGUUUUGGAGGCUAUGCCAAUCUACAAAGCAUUGGAGGAUUCUUUCUAGAGUAUCUAAAUCAAGAAUUUAUUUCAAACAUCACUGAUAUUUUUAAAGUAAUUUUUGAAUAAGUAAAAUAUGCACUUGAUGCAAAAUUAAAAGAAAAAACAGAAAUGCAGAGAAAAGGGAAUAUAGAGUUACCAGGGUUUAUGCAUCUACCAGAGAUCCUCUGAAUACCCAAGCUUACGCACACACACACACAAUGCUCAGUCAGAAAAUAUACUCAAUAGGGGUCUAGUGUUUUUACUGAGAUACUCCAAAGCCCUAAGCAUUUCUAAACACAUGGAGCAAGAGUUUUCAUUUAGGAGUGCUGAUUACUGUUUUUCCAGGGACACUUGCUACAGGCUUACACUAGCUGUUGACUCUGUUGGUGAUUGUCUCACCAGAGGCCCCAGAGGGGUGUCAGUACUCAGGUGUGAGGAGCCGGAAGUGGGUAGAGAAGGAAGGUGAGGCUGAUGAGUACUUACUGGGUGUCAGAUAGGACUCUAAGAGAUGGCUCUUAUAUAAUAAUAACCACUCUGGGAGAUGGUUAUUAUUCUCCUCCAUUUCACAGAUGAGAAAACUGAGGUGUAGAGAGGAUAUGUGACAUGCCCAGUGUAUCAGAGCUACAAAGUUGAGGAGGCAGGAUUGAAACUUAGGUCUGGCUGACGUCAAAGUCCCAAGCUGGAUGAUUUCCACCCUAGGAGAAGGACCAAGGGGAUCAGGGGCCCAGGAGGGUGGAGAGUGGCUGAAUUGCCAGUUAUUUUAAAUGCUAUAGGAAGGGGUGGGAGAUUAAAGCUGAACAACUGACAAUUACAACAAUUAUAACCUCAAAAACAACAUCCCACAGGCAAAGACCAUAGUGGACAACCUUUCUCUGUCUCAGCACCUCUUCAGACAUGUGGACUCUUGACCAGGACACAUUUUACAUGUUCAUAGAGGUCAGGUCCAAGACCAGGGGACAGCAGACAUUCCCGUCGCCCACCCCUGUGCUGUCUUCGCCCAUCCCCAGAAUGCUGACUUCUGUGGCUGAGUGGAAAUCAGUUAUAAUGAUGUGAGUAUGUAACUAAGAUUUUUGUAAAUAAAAAUUCUGGAAUCAAAAAACUGGAUACGUUCUCCAAUUUUGUGCUGGUAUUGCCUCAGUCAGUUCAGGCCACUGUAACAAAAUACCACAGACUGGGCAGCUUAAAGAGUAGACAUUUAUUUCUUACAGCUCUGGAGGCUGGAAGCCCAAGAUCAAGGUGUUGGCUGAUUCCGUUCUUGGUGAGGGCCCUCCCCCCAGCUUGUACACGGCCAGCUUCUUGCCAUCACAGAGAGAGAAGGGGAAUCCCAGCUAGACUCUUCCUCUUUUUGCAAGGGUUCUAAUUCCUUUCUUGGGGCUCCACCCUCAUGACCUUACCUAACCUCAUUACCUUCCAAGGCCCCGCCUCCUAUUGCCGGUCUGGGGGUCAGGGUUUCAGCACGGGCAUUUUGGAGGGAGACAUGCACUCAGCCCAUACUAGCAAAAUAAUGCACUGUGCACAGAGUUUCUCGGCUGGCUAAGUAAAUACCCAUAUCUCACCUCAUUUGCACCUCAAGGCUUUAUCAGUGAGUUAGCUAUUUUUAUUUUCCCUGUUUUACAGACGAAGAAGCCUAGUUGAGAAGGAUUCGGUGAUUUCCCCAGGGUCACUCAACUAGUGAGUGGUGCUGUUGGUGUGCAAAUACAGGUCUUCUAAUUCCCAAUCCUGUGUUUGUUCAGCUGCGUCAGGAAUCCAGCCGCUCUUCCCUAUCAUUAACAACGGCAAUGACAAAGCGCGGACAGCACCUGAUGUUUAUUUAGUGCUCUACUGUGUGCCAGUAGACACAGUAAAAACAUUAUUUCCUGCGGUAGGCACUAUGAUUCUAUUUUACACCCCCCAGAAAACCUAAAAUUAUCAGGGUUAAGUCAGUUUCCAAGAUCACACAGUUAGUACAACAGAACAAGUAUUUGGACCAGGUCUGGCUGAAUCUAAAAAUUAUGUUCUUAUUAAGCCCUUUCCUCUAGCAGCCUUUGAAGUUCUCCUUGAAAACAGUAUGUAAUAUAGAAAUAUUCUGUUGGACAUAUUUAUGGAGAUUUGAGUCAGAAAUGGAUUUCUUGCCCUUUAAAAGCCUUGUUUCCUACAAUGUCCUCUAUUGAAAGUGCUGUUUUUUAGGCCCUGCAGAUGGAGGACAGAUGUUUCUUUAUGCUCAAAAGUCCACUCUAUGUAGCUAACCAGAAUGUGAUUUUAUCUUGUUCUGAAUGUUUCAGAAAAAUGGCAUUGGACACAUCGUUCUAAAUGAAAGCCAAAUCAAAGGAGUUACUGCAUAGGUUCGAUGAAAACAACAACAGAAUGUAGCUCAGUGACCUGGGAGGGAACUUCCCAUUUCAGAGUUCGUUCUGAACCACACAGACAUUUUUGAUUCACUCGACCCGGACAUUCAGCCUGAAGUCAGAGAACCGUGUGUGUGUCUGAUGGGGUGGGAUGCUACAGGUUUGGAGCAUCAGAGCAUCUCAGAGCUAGAACUGGCCUUACAGUCACCUAGCUCACUGUUUUACUGAAGAGGAAAUUGAAGUAGGCUUAGUGGCAUUCUGGGAGUGAAACCUAACACAGAUGGAAGAACAUUCGCUGAGGACCCACAGGGACCCACGUGCAAGGUGAUAUUUAUAGAUUUGGUUGAUUUUUUUGGACUCAGCAGAGCCCAGGUCUGGGCCUGGAGCUGUCUGAGCUGAGCGCCAGGGCACAGAGGAGGCACACAGCUCAUGCUCCAGGCCAGCACCCCCCCAGGUGAGGGAAGCCUGAUGAGCACACAGUUGGCCUUUGGAGCUGGCACCCAGCGGGAUGUCCCCUAAAUGCAGGAGGGAGCUGACAUCUCUCAGUGCCCUGGAGUCAGGAGGUGCGUCUCUCCAACUGGGAGCCUGUUAGUUGACUGGACCCUUAAGCCUAGCACCCCAGGGAACAGAAACCAAAGAACUGACACAUUAGAGGCAUUUGUUGGCCCCAGGUCAGACUCUGGGCUCACCAUCAGUGGUUAUGGACCUGCCUCAGAUGUCAAGCUAUGGUGUUACAAUCCAAGACGGCAGAGCACCUCGCAGGUCACGUUCUCACCUGUGCAGCCUCGGGACAUUUCCCUUUACUGGAAACUAACCUGAGCAAGAUGAAGCCCUCCAGGCAAUGUUCCUGUCUGUCCUGCCCUACACAGCGUCUCUUCACUGCACACUUGGCCCUCCUGAUGCAGAGGCCUGGCAGAACAGCCCUUUAAAAUAAUUCCAUUUCCCUUUACUUGCUCUUGUGCCUUAAGUGCUUAAGUGAAUAAAAGUAUUGUUCCUAUGUCA